rnacentral:lncRNA from 1 species
ACUCUGCGACCCCUGGGGGUUCUCUGGGCCAGAAUCCUGGAGUGGGCAGCCGUUCCCUUCUCCAGGAAGGAACACAGGAAAUGAGCAAAAAUCGUCAAUACAGUCAGAGAUGGAUGGGGGCAGGUAAAAGCAAACCGUUCUUAGCUGCUUAGAGAUAGAGGCCAGGGCUCACUUAAGAGAGAAAACAGACUUUUGUUUAAGAGAAAGCAGAAGGGGAAAGACUGCUGGUGCUGCUGGCAGGGCCCUGGCCCUCUUUCCAGCCAGAGACAGGGACGAGAACCCCAACAGGAGAAUGGACGAAUAAAUAAAUGGAGAAGGAGAAAAGACUGAAGGGAAAGAGCCGACUCAAGGGCAUCGAGGGGAGAACAAAGCCUGAUUCAGCCUGUUCUUUUCCCAGGAAAUCCAGGUGGGCGAAAACCACACCAGGCCGCAGUGGUCCCGCUGCUGGGCCCCCACACCCGCAAUUCUACAGCGUCAGCACCGAGGCCUCAGCAGCCAGCAGCCAGAAGUUUCCUCUCCUGCUGCUGGCUCCACCCCCAGGGACAGCCCCGCUGCUCCAGGCUGCCCAGGGCAGGCCUGGCCCUGAGCCCAUGACCAGAGCAGCACCCUCCUCCAAGCACAGGUGAGGCCUCACCAUGGCGACGCCCUCCUCCAAGGAGAGACACGGACACACAGAUCCAACGUCUUCCGAUCUCUGUUGGGUCUGGGGGCGACGCAUUUCCCCCCAGACCUCCUGGCCACCUGGAGGACGACCGGAGUCUCAGUGUGGGCGUCCCUGGACUUGCGAAGGGUGCUUCCAGCCACACCCCGCCUCCCGCCCUGUGACCGGGCUCCCUGCAGCCCCGCUGCCCUUGGCCCUCAGCCCUGGUGAAGGAAAGAACCCGAGCUCAGCCUACCAGCAGCGGGCCCCCCGAGUGGCCCAUUCCCACGUGAUCACACUGUCCAAGCUUUGCGUAAAAUUCCCGCUUAGGAGUGAAGGACUUUGGGAAUCUCUGGUCUCACAUGAAUACACUGAAAUCCCGCAUGUCUCCAGGCGCACGAAGGCCACACACGGGGUCAGGGAGAGCUGGUUCUUUCGGGCUGACACACACACAAGGGUCAGUCUCACAGCCUGGCUCUGA